rnacentral:rRNA from 1 species
AUCUCUAAAAGGUGUCUCAGUUCGGAUUGCACUCUGUAACUCGAGUGCAUGAAGCUGGAAUUACUAGUAAUCGUGGAUCAGCGCGCCACGGUGAAUACGUUCCCGGGUCUUGUACACACCGCCCGUCACACCAUGGAAGUUGGUUACACCUUAAGGAAGUCGUCAACCUUCGGGAGACAUUUGACUACGGUACGAUCAGCAACUGGGGUG